GCCCUGAAUUUAUGUUUAUUAACAGCUCCUCCACCGGGGUCAAGACAAUUUGAGGGCCAGAUCCAGUCUGCCGACUGUCGGCCUUUUCACGAUUGGCUUAAAAAAAUGGCUUAUUUAAAUGUAUACCAAUACGAUGGUGGGAAAAGCUUACCCGUUUGUAUGUUUUUUAUACUUCGUUUUUAUACUUGAUCCGCUGACCGCUUGGAAGCAAUCGGAGUACAUCUUUUUUUAGAAGAAAGGGGUUAUGUGGUAGGAUCUUUAAGAAUGCUUAACUGGGAUAUUUAUAUAUUCAUGG